rnacentral:lncRNA from 10 species
CUGGAGUUAGAAGGCAGGAUGGUGGUCACUUUUGUAGAAGGGAAAGGGACAUCUCCUUUGAGUCCCAGGCCACACCCCUGCCCCCAUGUUCUCUCAUCUGUGGCUGAGUCUCUGGGCAGCUGUAGUAAGCUCUCUACUUCAAAACCUGUGGUGGGUUUGGUGGUGAGAUGGCCCGAUGACCUCUGCACCCCCAGUUCAGCUGUGGAGUCAGCACAGCUCCUAGAAUGCACCACAGAGCGCUAGUAAAAGUCACCUCUGAGUCCACUUUCCCCAGCGCCUCUCCCGCUUGCUUGCGUCCUGAGUGGUAAAAAGUGCAGCCGCCCCUCAUUUUAUGCAAGGGAAGCUGAGAAUUACCUGUGUAUUGAUCACAUUUGGGCAAUUCCAGUUGCAUUUUAAGUAACCGCGCUCAUGACAGGGCCUGCGGGGCACACUCCCUGUGAAAUGCACCGCCUUCCAUCAUGCUCCUGUCACGGGAUUCGUUUUCAAUUCACACAUCCCCCUUUUUUCAACCCUUGACUCCCUAUAGUCCAUUUCGCAAAGGCAGCCAGAGUGAUCUUCUCAAACAGUAAAUCAAACCACGCUGCACUGCUGCUGAAAGCCUGCGGGAGCAAGCCCACGUCUCCGAGUUCACGGCCUCCGCCACCUGCGUUCCCUCUCCCUGAAACACUCUUCCCUCAGACCUCCCCAGGUCUGCGUCCAUCCCCAAAGGCCGCCUCUUCAGAGUGGCCUUUCUGUACACUCAUCUGCAGGGGCCAACCUCACCCCCAAACCAGGCAGCCACCCUCUCGCUCCUAACCCCGUGGAAUUUUCCCUGUGGCUUUCAUUGCUGUCUGAAUUUCGCUUGCUUACUUACUGCCUUCCAUGCUAAUGUCUGUCUCGCUUACCUACUAAACAAUCACCGUGAGAGCAAAGAUUUCAUUUCAUUUGUUCACUUAGUGGAUCCCUAAGUCCCAGAACAGUGUCCAGCACAGAGUAGACAGCCAGAAAAUACUAGUGGGUGAGAGGGAAGGAGGGUCAAGGACAGAGAAGUCAAGGGUCAAGGACACAGAGGAAGGGAGAGAGGGAAGAAGGAAGGGUUAAGGACAGGGAGGGUUGGGGAGGACAGAGGAAUAGGGGAGAAAGGUAGGGAAGAAUGAGGUCCCAGAAGCAGCUACUGCUAGGAGCUGCUGGUGUUCCCCAGGUACAAUUUGGGGCCUUAGAACAAGGGACUAGUCACGGAAGGGGGAUGACAGCAGAGAGAACGCAAGUGACGGUGUAUGAACCAUAUGUUUCUGAAGAGCUGUAAGAAAGUGCCUGAAUUGGGGUGGGUGGAGAAACACGGGGCUCAGGGGAGUGCAUGCCUUGGGCCCUGGAAUAUUACUUAUUUUGCUUUUCCAAAGAGACUUCUUGAAAACGUCUCAAGUACUCGGAGUGGAGAAAGCAGAAGGAGCGCCUUGGUGUUCCAAGAACAAACGGGGCCAAGCCAGCCGGCGUCUGUGUGCAGGAAUGCAGGCGGGAAGGGCUGAGAUAAAGCACAGAUGCCCCAUGAGGGAGCGGGGUGGAAUGCCCAGACGCGACGCUGGGAUCACUGGCCAAGGUGCAGGAAACGAUAACUCAGAGCCGGGGGCUUCCCUGGACCCCAGGGCAGGGGCGGGAUCAGCUUCAAAGAUGGUUUGUUUGCACUUGUGCGGGGGAGGGAGGACCUGUGUGUCCACUGGUGACUGCUUCCUUUUCCAGCCACAGAACCUUCCCUCAACCCUCAAAACGCAUAAGCCCAGCUCUUACAAAGUUUCCAAGGAAAGCCCACUUUGGCAAAAUCCCAAGGGAAAUAAAUGACAGACCAGAAAUGCCCACGCACAGGCAGCACAGCACGCUGGGGUUUAGCACGGGCCCCGUGCAGCCAAAUAUGUGCCGUGUGCGACAGACUCCCUUGAAAUCAUAAACGAAAGGGACAGAAAAGGACCUAAAGACCAAGGAAGUUGCCCCACCAGACACCAAAGGAAUGACCCAGGGGAUUUUCC